rnacentral:rRNA from 1 species
CCUACGGGUGGCUGCAGUGGGGAAUAUUGGACAAUGGGGGCAACCCUGAUCCAGCCAUGCCGCGUGUGUGAAGAAGGCCUUCGGGUUGUAAAGCACUUUAAGUGGGGAGGAAGGCUCGCUGGUUAAUAGUCAGCGGGAGUGACGUUACCCACAGAAUAAGCACCGGCAAACUCCGUGCCAGCAGCCGCGGUAAUACGGAGGGUGCGGGCGUUAAUCGGAAUUAGUGGGUUUAAUGCGUCGGUAGUCAGUUCCCUGGGCUCAACCUGGGAGCUGCAUUCGAUACUGGCAGACUUGAAUACGGUAGAGGGGGGUGGAAUUCCAGGUGUAGCGGUGAAAUGCGUAGAGAUCUGGAGGAACACCAGUGGCGAAGGCGGCCCCCUGGACCGAUAUUGACGCUGAGGUGCGAAAGCGUGGGGAGCAAACAGGAUUAGAUACCCCUGUAGUC